rnacentral:rRNA from 1 species
GACGAACGCUGGCGGCGUGCUUAACACAUGCAAGUCGAACGGAAAGGCGCUGCUUUUGUGGGGUGCUCGAGUGGCGAACGGGUGAGUAACACGUGAGUAACCUGCCCUUGACUUUGUGAUAACUUCAGGAAACUGGGGAGAAUACCGGAUAGGAGCUCUUGCUGCACGGUGGGGGUUGGAAAGUUACGGCGGUGGGGGCUGGACUCGCGGCUUAUCAGCUGGUUGGUGGGGUAGUGGCGUCCCAAGGCUUUGACGGGUAGCCGGCCUGAGAGGGGGACCGGCCACCUUGGGCCUGAGAUACGGCCCAGAAUCCUACGGGCGGCAGCAGUGGGGAAUAUUGCGCAAUGGGCGGAAGCCUGAUGCAGCAACGCCGCGUGCGGGAUGACGGCCUUCGGGUUGUAAACCGCUUUCGCCUGUGACGAAGCGUGAGUGACGGUAAUGGGUAAAGAAGCACCGGCUAACUACGUG